GACGAACCGUGCGAACGUUAUUCGGAAUCACUGGGCUUAAAGGGCGCGUAGGCGGGCUCGUCAGUCAGGGGUGAAAUCCUACGGCCCAACCGUAGAAGUGCCUCUGAUACUGCGAGCCUCGAGGGGGAUAGGGGCGUGCGGAACUCAGGGUGGAGCGGUGAAAUGCGUAGAUAUCCGGAAGAACACCAAAGGCGAAGGCAGUGUCCUGGCUGGUACCUGACGCUCAGGUGCGAAAGCUAGGGGAGCGAACGGG
rnacentral:rRNA from 1 species